rnacentral:rRNA from 1 species
AAUCAACGCCGGCGGCGUGCCUCAGACAUGCAAGUCGAACGAUUAAAGCUCUCUUCGGAGAGUGCAUAGAGUGGCGCACGGGUGAGUAACACGUAAGUAAUCUACCUUUGAGUGGGGAAUAACCCGGGGAAACCCGAGCUAAUACCGCAUAACGCAGCGGCACCGCAAGGUGACAGUUGUUAAAGGAGCAAUCCGCUUGAAGAGGAGCUUGUGGCAGAUUAGCUUGUUGGUAAGGUAACGGCUUACCAAGGCUACGAUCUGUAUCCGGUCCUAGAGGACGGUCGGACACACUGACACUGAACAACGGGUCAGACUCCUACGGGAGGCAGCAGUCGGGAAUUUUGGGCAAUGGGCGAAAGCCUGACCCAGCAACGCCGCGUGAAGGAUGAAGUAUUUCGGUAUGUAAACUUCGAAAGAAUAGGAAGAAUAAAUGACGGUACUAUUUAUAAGCUCCGGCUAACUACGUGCCAGCCGCCGCAGUAAAAC